UGUUAUUUGCCACUGGGAAAAUGUCUCCUAAGAUGUUGUUUGCGGUUCUGAUAAAUCGAUGUCUUCUAAAUGAAGUGCUGUCCAGGCUGGCUGUUAUGAAUUCUGCUGGAGCAGCCCAUUGCAUUUUGGCAAGAGCAUCCACUUGGGACACCAAGUGGGCGGAACAGUAGUGCCAUGGACUGCGAAGGAAGAAGAGUAUGAAGAAGAGCGGCUGCUGGCUUCCUAGGCCCGUCCUCCAGCUUCUGGAACUUCAAGGGAUUUGACUUGAUUACAGGAAGUCCCAGCAAUUGCAAAAAGAUGAAAUUGUUGUCACCAUCCUACACACUGCCACUGAAUUCUUUUCUGAACACCAGUCCUGCUACUAACCCCCCAGUGUUUGCAGACUCUCUGGCAUGCAGUCUCUGUUUUGAGACCUUCAAGGAGGAACUGUGCACAGUGAAUCUUUGUGUUCCCAGAACUUACACCACUUGUGCAUAAGAGCCGGCCUGAUGCUGAAGGCCAUCUUCAUGUUAUAAAGUUGCUAGGUUCAGAGCUGGGGCCAUGGCAGCCCUAAGUAGUCAGACUCAGCCAUCAACUUCAGUGGGCUAGUUAGGCAACUAAAACAGCAAAAAACACACAGAGAAAAAGUGAGCCAGAGAGAAGGGGGUGGGGAAAGGGAGAGAGAGAGAGGGAGUGAGGGGGAGAAGAGGAAG